rnacentral:rRNA from 1 species
UUAAAUUGAAGAGUUUGAUCAUGGCUCAGAUUGAACGCUGGCGGCAGGCCUAACACAUGCAAGUCGAACGGUAACAGGAAGCAGCUUGCUGCUUUGCUGACGAGUGGCGGACGGGUGAGUAAUGUCUGGGAAACUGCCUGAUGGAGGGGGAUAACUACUGGAAACGGUAGCUAAUACCGCAUAACGUCGCAAGACCAAAGAGGGGGACCUUAGGGC